rnacentral:rRNA from 1 species
UCUUCCGCAAUGGACGAAAGACUGACGGAGCAACGCCGCGUGAGUGAUGAAGGCUUUCGGAUCGUCAAACUCUGUUGUUAGGGAAGAACAAGUACCGUUCGAACAGGGCGGUACCUUGACGGUACCUAACCAGAACGCCACGGCUACCUACGUGCCAGCAGCCGCGGUAAUACGUAGGCGGCAAGCAUUGUCCGGAAUUAUUGGGCGUAAAGCGCGCGCAGGCGGUUUCUUAAGUCUGAUGUGAAAGCCCCCGGCUCAACCGGGGAGGGUCAUUGGAAACUGGGGAACUUGAGUGCAGAAGAGGAGAGUGGAAUUCCACGUGUAGCGGUGAAAUGCGUAGAGAUGUGGAGGAACACCAGUGGCGAAGGCGACUCUCUGGUCUGUAACUGACGCUGAGGCGCGAAAGCGUGGGGAGCGAACAG